CGCAGGGCCAGCCUCACGGUUCCACCAUCGUCUCCUGGAAACCGACGCCGGAACGCCGAAUAUAUUAUUAUUAUUUUUGCCGUUAUUGUGACUACAGCUCAGCGUGAACGUGUCGGUCAGCGAUUGGGCGCCGUUUAACGGAGACUCGGCUGUCAGGCAUCGAUCACGUGAAUUACUUGAGCAUUCGUGGGACGUGCGUGUCCUUGGAGGGUGUCUGGCUCUUUGGGGGAACCAGAACUGCUAGCAAGAGAGUGCUGGCACUUCUCAGUAUCUGCUGGUACUAAUUAAG